UCUGUGGUUGUGGCGCUGAGCUCCGGCUCUGCAGAGCGCAAUUUCCCCACCCCCCCAAAGCUGUGGGGACCCCCCCAGAGGGGCGGGGUACAGCGAGUGCCAGUGGGUGCGAGAGCUGUGGGUGCCAACUGCCAGGUUCGAGGUUGAGGAGCCACAGCCUCAGGUGUGGGAGAAACUGCUGCUGAAACCCCACAGGUCCAAGGCUGCCAUGGCCCAGACACCGUGGGGACAGUGAGGGCUCCCAUGUCCCUGUGCUGGGGACACUGAGGCCUCCCGUGCUGGAAAGAGUCCGUGUGCCUUCCCUGUGGCACCUCCCUGUGCCUGGUAUAAGAUGAUCUUGCAGGGAAAACCAGGAAGGAGCCAAAGGCUUGGUGUUGGAUGGGGUGGAGGCCCAGGGAUGAGUUCUGCUUCAGCCUGGCCUCGCAUUCCCUCCUUUCCUGCAAUCCCAGCAAAAACAAAGGCAGAGGAGGCGGCUCUUGCGCCCUGCAGGAUGUGCUGGGGCGUGCAGAGCUCCCCCAGCGCUGUGCCUGGGAGCAGGAGGACGGUCCCAGGGGCUUUGUGAGGCUCAGGAGCAGGAACGCGGGCGGGGGGAAGGGGGGCUGCCUGGAGGGCUUUGUUCCCUGCCAGCCCCGGGUAGGGCACAGCAGCAGAGGAGGAGAUGUGGCACCACUGCCCUGUCCUCCCCUCCCCUGAGCACUCCCAUCCCCAGCCCACAGUGGCAGCACCAGAGGAGCUGCUCCGUGAUUUGGGAACCUCAUCAGAGCAGUGCCCGGGGUGGGGGCUGCCCUUGGCUCCCCAGAAGGUGCCAGGGCUGCUGAGCAGGUUUGGGCUCAGCUGCUGCACGGCCCUGGGCCAUGAGUGUAGGACUGGGAAAGGUGGGGAGCCCCAGAGAAGCCUGUGGUGCUGUGGAAGGAGCUGCCUGGGUGCAGGAUGUGCUGGAGGCAGGAGAGAGGCUCAUGUUGGUGUGGGAAUGGCACGGGGUGAGGGCAGGACUCCUCCUAUCACUGCUCCCCCACAGCAUUUCCAUGUGGCACUAUCCUUGCUGUGCUGCUGGACAGGCAGAACUUCCAGGAAAUCAGAUUUGCAUUCACAGGAUGUUCAGUCCUGCAACCUCUGCCCUUGGAAGCUUUAAAAAAUAGGUGAUAAAAGCAUCAGUCAUGUGGAGGGAUCGCUUGAAUCAGCUCCAGGUAAUCCCUGAGGUCCCUCCAGCCUCUGGUGACUCACCAUUUCCCAUGGCUGCACCUGUACACACAAACAGCUCCGCUCCAGAGCGGAUAUUUGCACUCCCUAAGGAAGUGCUGGCACUUUUGUCAAAUUGGGUCACUACAGCCACAGCCUGCUCACAGCCAAGUCCAGGUGAUCAAAAUUAGGGCUCAGCCAGGCAAAAUGCCCAUGGGUGCCCAGAUCUGGAACUCUCACAGGAAUGAACUCUGCGUCUCCUAUGUGGUGUUGCCUGUUUGGGACCUCUGGCCGGGUCCCUUCUGCUGCAAGAGGUGAAUCCUGGACUCUUUCAGUGCUUAAUUAACUUCCCUAAUGACUGGUGCAACCUGCCAGGUGAGCUGCCUGGCUGGCUGCUCCCAGCACUGCUUCCAGCCAGAGCCCAGCCUGUGGGACAUGCAUCGAUGUCCCUGAGCUCCUUGGGCUGGUGACACGGUGGCAGCCCCUGUGUGCAGCCUGAUCAUGGAAUAUCCACGAGGAUUGCCAAAUCCACAGCCGAUGCCUUGUGUGAUGCCCUGAGUCAGGAGUGAUCUGGAGCACUGAACCCUCCUGGCAGCAGCACACAGUGUCCAUUUGGCCCAGCUCUCACCUUGUGUCACUGGUGACUCUCACUGUCAAAGCAAAGGCAUCACCACACCCCAGGGAGACAGAAAUCACACUUUUGGGACACAACCAAGCAAGGCUGUGCUCGCCAUUCCCUUUCACAGGAGCUCCUCUGCUCCCUGCAGCCCUGGGACUCAAAUUCCCCUGAAGCAGCAAAGGUUCUGUGUGCUAUUUUCACAACACCCGACCUGCCUGGCUUUGUGUGGAGUCAAAUCCCAGUAAAUCCCAGUGUUUGUUUGUCCCUCAAGGUUUGCAGCAGGGUUGGUGUUGGCUGUCCAGCAUCUCAGGCUGGAAAAUGGCUCUGUGCAUCAAGGUCACUUUAUCCACCCUCAUCACAGACCAGAAAUGCUCACGUUAAUGGGUCUCUAAUUUAAUCAAAAUGCUGUGCCUGUGAUUGCAGGGAUGGACUCUUUUCCUCUCUUGAAGGGCAAAAAUCAAUUUGCAGUAACAGCAGACACGUCUGCUCCCUCCUCCAGGCCUAGGAAAGUGAGUAAAUUUUUUCAUGGUACGAAAAUAAUAAUAUUGACCUGGUGUGUCAUCAAUAUUGGGGUUUUUUUAUGUGCUUUUGAGCACUUUGGUGGCAGCAUUCUGUGGCCCUGUGAACUCAGAAAAACCACAGAUGUGGUGCCCCUGGGUUUCGUAAUUACUGUUUUACCCAUGUACAAACUGCCCUUUUCUUGCAGAUCCCAAAGGGAUCACAACAAAUCAGUGAGGAACAGCCUGAUUUCCAUGCCCUGGGAGGCAGGGAAUGGGUGAUCACUGCUCAACAGAGCAAUCACGGGCAGGUUUCUUUGCAUCUCCCUGUGGUUUGUUUUUCCUCAGUCUCAGUGCCUGGUUUAGAAAUCAGUCACCAGUCUGUACUCCAGUGAUUUUCUUCUGUGCAGCCUGGCU